GAAGGUAUAGCUCAAGUGGUAGAACACAUGCUUAGCAUGCAUGAGGUCCUGGGUUCAAUCCCAAGUUAUCUCCA
rnacentral:tRNA from 1 species